rnacentral:rRNA from 1 species
GUCCUUUAGAUAUUAAUUUAAGGUCUAACCUGCCCACUGAAAUAUUUUAAAUGGCCGCAGUAAUUUGACUGUGCAAAGGUAGCAUAAUCAUUAGUUUUUUAAUUAAAAGCUUGUAUGAAAGGUUGGACGAAGUAAAAUCUGUCUCUAAUUAAAUUAAUUUAGAAUUUAACUUUUAAGUUAAAAGGCUUAAAUUUAACUAAAAGACGAGAAGACCCUAUAGAUCUUUAUAUUUUUAUUAUUAAAUUUAAUUAAGAAUUUUUAAAAUUUUAUUAAUUUAAAUAUUUUAUUGGGGUAAUAUAAAGAUUUAAAUAAUUCUUUUUUUUUAUUAACAUUAAUUUAUGAUUUUUAUGAUCCAAUUAUAUUGAUUAUAAGAUUAAGUUACCUUAGGGAUAACAGCGUAAUUUUUUUAGAGAGUUCUUAUCGAUAAAAAAGUUUGCGACCUCGAUGUUGGAUUAAAGAUUAUUUUAGGUGCAGAAGUUUAAAAAUUUUGGUCUGUUCGACCAUUAAAUCUUUACAUGAUCUGAGUUCAGACCGGUGUAAGCCAGGUCGGUUUCUAUCUUUAGUAAAUUAAAAUAUUUCAGUACGAAAGGACCAAUUAUUUAAUAUAAAUAUUUAUAUUUUGAUUAUUAUUAA